rnacentral:misc_RNA from 1 species
AAGACUAUAGACCUGCGGAGUACCUGCGGAGGGAUCAUUACAAGUGACCCCGGUCUAACCACCGGGAUGUUCAUAACCCUUUGUUGUCCGACUCUGUUGCCUCCGGGGCGACCCUGCCUUCGGGCGGGGGCUCCGGGUGGACACUUCAAACUCUUGCGUAACUUUGCAGUCUGAGUAAACUUAAUUAAUAAAUUAAAACUUUCAACAACGGAUCUCU